GUUCUUUUACAUCUACCAUCUUUGGAUAGACAACGACGUGAAGAGGAGUUGAAAGGAAUGGAAGUUGUCUUCUUAUUUAAUGAAUGUCCAUGGCCAUAAAAUUGCUUGCUAUACCCAUGUGAUGAAAAAUGGUUGAUGUUAUUUCCUCUAAUUGCUUGGCGGGGGUACACAUCUUUUCGUAAGGAUGAAACUGAAUCCUCUGGCAUAUGGCAUUCGAUGGGAUGAGGUAUUGGAUAUGGGCCUCCUUACCCUUGGACAAUGGGAAUUCUUGGUUUCUUGCUGAGAUUUAUGCAAUGCCGA